AACUAUAUGAUAUUAUAUAUAGCUUUUUCUGCACAAUGUGAAAAUAUGAAUUGCCGCAGUACUUUGACUGUGCUAAGGUAGCAUAAUCAUUUGGCUUAUAAUUGAAGUCUAGUAUGAAUGAAAUCAUGGGGGUCUACUGUUUCAAAGACGCAUUUUGAAUUUUUCUGGUUGGUGAAAAUGCCAAUAAAUACUUAAUAGACGAGAAGACCCUUGAAAUUUUUAAUAAAUCUUUUUUGGAUAUGUUUUAGUUGGGGCGACAAAGUAGCAAAAAACCUACUUGAACUAAAUAAGCAUUAAAUAGGAUGAACAAAUAAAUUACUCUAGGGAUAACAGCAUAAUAUUAUAAAGUUUGUGACCUCGAUGUUGGACUAGGAUAAUAUAGCUUAGAAGGCUCCUAUUAUUGCUCUGUUCG
rnacentral:rRNA from 1 species